AAUACUAUGAAAAUACAUAAAGCAGGGAGAAGGAAUUAAGAGUGUUGGGAUGCUACUUUUGAGACUAUGGUCAACAAAGGUUUUUCUGAGUGUGUGAUUCUUGAGCAGGUGCUUAAUGUGAGACUAUAAGCCAUGUGACCUUCUGGAGGAACAGCAUUCUAGGCAAGGGAACAGCACAUGCUGCAGUAAAAGGGUCAAUUUAUCUGGAGUGCAAUGAGCAAGACGGAGAUGGGAGAGAAAAAGCUCAAAGAUAAAUGAAAGAAAAAUAUUUAAAAAUUGAAUAGCUUUUACAUUCAUCUUUUACCAUUAGAGAGUUAUCUGUAUGCUUAAGUAUUCUGCAAUAGCCACCAAAUCUAUAAGGCUCAGAAUAAUUGCUAUAUGGAAAUUUCCUGAGCAUUUAAUUCUGAAACACAUGCCUUUUAGAUCUCCGCUUC
rnacentral:lncRNA from 10 species